rnacentral:rRNA from 1 species
GUACACAAAAAUGCACAUAUUGUGAGCUCGAUGAGUAGGGCGGGACACGUGGUAUCCUGUCUGAAUAUGGGGGGACCAUCCUCCAAGGCUAAAUACUCCUGACUGACCGAUAGUGAACCAGUACCGUGAGGGAAAGGCGAAAAGAACCCCGGCGAGGGGAGUGAAAAAGAACCUGAAACCGUGUACGUACAAGCAGUGGGAGCCUCUUAAUGGGGUGACUGCGUACCUUUUGUAUAAUGGGUCAGCGACUUAUAUUCUGUAGCAAGGUUAACCGAAUAGGGGAGCCGAAGGGAAACCGAGUCUUAACUGGGCGUUAAGUUGCAGGGUAUAGACCCGAAACCCGGUGAUCUAGCCAUGGGCAGGUUGAAGGUUGGGUAACACUAACUGGAGGACCGAACCGACUAAUGUUGAAAAAUUAGCGGAUGACUUGUGGCUGGGGGUGAAAGGCCAAUCAAACCGGGAGAUAGCUGGUUCUCCCCGAAAGCUAUUUAGGUAGCGCCUCGUGAAUUCAUCUCCGGGGGUAGAGCACUGUUUCGGCAAGGGGGUCAUCCCGACUUACCAACCCGAUGCAAACUGCGAAUACCGGAGAAUGUUAUCACGGGAGACACACGGCGGGUGCUAACGUCCGUCGUGAAGAGGGAAACAACCCAGACCGCCAGCUAAGGUCCCAAAGUCAUGGUUAAGUGGGAAACGAUGUGGGAAGGCCCAGACAGCCAGGAUGUUGGCUUAGAAGCAGCCAUCAUUUAAAGAAAGCGUAAUAGCUCACUGGUCGAGUCGGCCUGCGCGGAAGAUGUAACGGGGCUAAACCAUGCACCGAAGCUGCGGCAGCGACACUAUGUGUUGUUGGGUAGGGGAGCGUUCUGUAAGCCUGUGAAGGUGUACUGUGAGGUAUGCUGGAGGUAUCAGAAGUGCGAAUGCUGACAUAAGUAACGAUAAAGCGGGUGAAAAGCCCGCUCGCCGGAAGACCAAGGGUUCCUGUCCAACGUUAAUCGGGGCAGGGUGAGUCGACCCCUAAGGCGAGGCCGAAAGGCGUAGUCGAUGGGAAACAGGUUAAUAUUCCUGUACUUGGUGUUACUGCGAAGGGGGGACGGAGAAGGCUAUGUUGGCCGGGCGACGGUUGUCCCGGUUUAAGCGUGUAGGCUGGUUUUCCAGGCAAAUCCGGAAAACCAAGGCUGAGGCGUGAUGACGAGGCACUACGGUGCUGAAGCAACAAAUGCCCUGCUUCCAGGAAAAGCCUCUAAGCAUCAGGUAACAUCAAAUCGUACCCCAAACCGACACAGGUGGUCAGGUAGAGAAUACCAAGGCGCUUGAGAGAACUCGGGUGAAGGAACUAGGCAAAAUGGUGCCGUAACUUCGGGAGAAGGCACGCUGAUAUGUAGGUGAAGCGACUUGCUCGUGGAGCUGAAAUCAGUCGAAGAUACCAGCUGGCUGCAACUGUUUAUUAAAAACACAGCACUGUGCAAACACGAAAGUGGACGUAUACGGUGUGACGCCUGCCCGGUGCCGGAAGGUUAAUUGAUGGGGUUAGCGGUAACGCGAAGCUCUUGAUCGAAGCCCCGGUAAACGGCGGCCGUAACUAUAACGGUCCUAAGGUAGCGAAAUUCCUUGUCGGGUAAGUUCCGACCUGCACGAAUGGCGUAAUGAUGGCCAGGCUGUCUCCACCCGAGACUCAGUGAAAUUGAACUCGCUGUGAAGAUGCAGUGUACCCGCGGCAAGACGGAAAGACCCCGUGAACCUUUACUAUAGCUUGACACUGAACAUUGAGCCUUGAUGUGUAGGAUAGGUGGGAGGCUUUGAAGUGUGGACGCCAGUCUGCAUGGAGCCGACCUUGAAAUACCACCCUUUAAUGUUUGAUGUUCUAACGUGGGCCCCUUACCGGGGUUGCGGACAGUGUCUGGUGGGUAGUUUGACUGGGGCGGUCUCCUCCUAAAGAGUAACGGAGGAGCACGAAGGUUGGCUAAUCCUGGUCGGACAUCAGGAGGUUAGUGCAAUGGCAUAAGCCAGCUUGACUGCGAGCGUGACGGCGCGAGCAGGUGCGAAAGCAGGUCAUAGUGAUCCGGUGGUUCUGAAUGGAAGGGCCAUCGCUCAACGGAUAAAAGGUACUCCGGGGAUAACAGGCUGAUACCGCCCAAGAGUUCAUAUCGACGGCGGUGUUUGGCACCUCGAUGUCGGCUCAUCACAUCCUGGGGCUGAAGUAGGUCCCAAGGGUAUGGCUGUUCGCCAUUUAAAGUGGUACGCGAGCUGGGUUUAGAACGUCGUGAGACAGUUCGGUCCCUAUCUGCCGUGGGCGCUGGAGAACUGAGGGGGGCUGCUCCUAGUACGAGAGGACCGGAGUGGACGCAUCACUGGUGUUCGGGUUGUCAUGCCAAUGGCACUGCCCGGUAGCUAAAUGCGGAAGAGAUAAGUGCUGAAAGCAUCUAAGCACGAAACUUGCCCCGAGAUGAGUUCUCCCUGAGACUUAGAGUCUCCUGAAGGAACGUUGAAGACGACGACGUUGAUAGGCCGGGUGUGUAAGCGCAGCGAUGCGUUGAGCUAACCGGUACUAAUGAACCGUGAGGCUUAACCUUACAACGCCGAAG